UACGUAUGGUGCAAGCGUUAUCCGGAUUUAUUGGGUUUAAAGGGUGCGUAGGCGGAUCGUUAAGUCAGUGGUCAAAUUGAGGGGCUCAACCCCUUCCCGCCAUUGAAACUGGCGAUCUUGAGUGGAAGAGAAGUAUGCGGAAUGCGUGGUGUAGCGGUGAAAUGCAUAGAUAUCACGCAGAACCCCGAUUGCGAAGGCAGCAUGCCGGCUUCCUACUGACGCUGAAGCACGAAAGCGUGGGGAGCAAACAGG
rnacentral:rRNA from 1 species